AAUGCCUUAGUUUCUCUCAGAUCAUAUAAAUCUUUUGCCUUUUACAAAAGAUUCCCAUGGAGAUAACACACUUUCAGUAGUUUUUAACUAAUUUGAGUCUUGCCUUAGCAGGGC
rnacentral:snRNA from 1 species